UGGUGGGUAGUUUGACUGGGGCGGUCUCCUCCCAAAGAGUAACGGAGGAGCACGAAGGUUAGCUAAUCCUGGUCGGACAUCAGGAGGUUAGUGCAAUGGCAUAAGCUAGCUUGACUGCGAGAGUGACGGCUCGAGCAGGUGCGAAAGCAGGUCAUAGUGAUCCGGUGGUUCUGAAUGGAAGGGCCAUCGCUCAACGGAUAAAAGGUACUCCGGGGAUAACAGGCUGAUACCGCCCAAGAGUUCAUAUCGACGGCGGUGUUUGGCACCUCGAUGUCGGCUCAUCACAUCCUGGGGCUGAAGUAGGUCCCAAGGGUAUGGCUGUUCGCCAUUUAAAGUGGUACGCGAGCUGGGUUUAGAACGUCGUGAGACAGUUCGGUCCCUAUCUGCCGUGGGCGCUGGAGAAUUGAGGGGGGCUGCUCCUAGUACGAGAGGACCGGAGUGGACGCAUCACUGGUGUUCGGGUUGUCAUGCCAAUGGCACUGCCCGGUAGCUAAAUGCGGAAAAGAUAAGUGCUGAAAGCAUCUAAGCACGAAACUUGCCCCGAGAUGAGUUC
rnacentral:rRNA from 1 species